AUUGAACGCUAGCGGGAUGCUUUACACAUGCAAGUCGAACGGAGUGGCGAACGGGUGAGUAAUGUAUCGGAACGUGCCCAGUCGCGGGGGAUACCUCAGCGAAAGGGUAGCUAAUCCGCCAUACUAUUGAAGCGGCCGAUAUCGGAUUAGCUAGUGGGUGGGGGAAGGGCUCACCAAGGCGACGAUCCGUAGCUGGUUUGAGAGGACGACCAGCCACACUGGGACUGAGACACGGCCCAGACUCCUACGGGAGGCAGCAGUGGGGAAUUUUGGACAAUGGGGGCAACCCUGAUCCAGCCAUCCCGCGUGUGCGAUGAAGGCCUUCGGGUUGUAAAGCACUUUUGGCAGGAAAGCGGUACCUGCAGAAUAAGCACCGGCUAACUACGUGCCAGCAGCCGCGGUAAUUC
rnacentral:rRNA from 1 species